CAGUCGCCGCGGGAACACAGAGGGUGCGAGCGUUAAUCGGAUUUACUGGGCGUAAAGCGUGCGUAGGCGGCUUUUUAAGUCGGAUGUGAAAUCCCUGAGCUUAACUUAGGAAUUGCAUUCGAUACUGGGAAGCUAGAGUAUGGGAGAGGAUGGUAGAAUUCCAGGUGUAGCGGUGAAAUGCGUAGAGAUCUGGAGGAAUACCGAUGGCGAAGGCAGCCAUCUGGCCUAAUACUGACGCUGAGGUACGAAAGCAUGGGGAGCAAACAGGAUUAGAUACCCCGGUAGUCCCUGUCUCUUAUAC
rnacentral:rRNA from 1 species